CCUACGGGUGGCAGCAGUGGGGAAUAUUGGACAAUGGGGGCAACCCUGAUCCAGCCAUGCCGCGUGUGUGAAGAAGGCCCUCGGGUUGUAAAGCACUUUCAGUGAGGAAGAACGCCUGGUGGUUAAUACCCAUCAGGAAAGACAUCACUCACAGAAGAAGCACCGGCUAACUCCGUGCCAGCAGCCGCGGUAAUACGGAGGGUGCGAGCGUUAAUCGGAAUUACUGGGCGUAUAGCGCGCGUAGGUGGCUUGAUAAGCCGGUUGUGAAAGCCCCGGGCUCAACCUGGGAACGGCAUCCGGAACUGUCAAGCUAGAGUGCAGGAGAGGAAGGUAGAAUUCCCGGUGUAGCGGUGAAAUGCGUAGAGAUCGGGAGGAAUACCAGUGGCGAAGGCGGCCUUCUGGACUGACACUGACACUGAGGUGCGAAAGCGUGGGUAGCAAACAGGAUUAGAUACCCGUGUAGUC
rnacentral:rRNA from 1 species